CUAUUAUUAUCAAGACAUCGUUGUCUAAACAAUUUUUUGUUUGCUAGUUUAACAUACAAGAAGAAAACAAACAGGGGAUUAUUGGAAAAAUAUGAAGAAAACAAACUUUUUUUGGUCGAAGUGAUCACUAAGUUGUAUAUUUUUGAAUUUGGCGAAAAAUAAGGUUGAUGUUUAGAUAUUUAUGGAAGGAACACAUAUGGCAUAAAAUAUUUUAUCUUGAUUGUGUAAUGUCUACCACACCCACCCCAUUUCCCUGAGCAAGGUCGAGUUGAAUAAAUGGUAGAGCGGGAAAAUCGUUACAAACUGAAAUAUAUAAUCGAUAGGGAAUCGAAAAAGGAAUCGAUCUCUGUAUUAAAU